GAUGAAGAACGUAGUGAAAUGCGAUAAGUAAUGUGAAUUGCAGAAUUCAGUGAAUCAUCGAAUCUUUGAACGCACAUUGCGCCCGCCAGUAUUCUGGCGGGCAUGCCUGUUCGAGCGUCAUUUCAACCAUCAAGCCCCCGGCUUGUGUUGGGGACCUGCGGCUGCCGCAGGCCCUGAAAACCAGUGGCGGGCUCGCUAGUCACUCCGAGCGUAGUAAUACAUCUCGCUCAGGGCGUGCUGCGGGUUCCGGCCGUUAAAAAGCCUUAUUUACCCAAGGUUGACCUCGGAUCAGGUAGGAAGACCCGCUGAAUUUAAGCAUAUCAAUAAGCGGAGGA
rnacentral:misc_RNA from 1 species